rnacentral:rRNA from 1 species
AUGUUGGAGAAAGACAGGAUAUCCUAUUUCUACGAUGGGGAUGUUGGCAAUGUGUACUUUGGGCCAAAUCAUCCGAUGAAACCGCAUCGCCUUUGCAUGACACAUCAUCUCGUGUUAUCAUAUGAUCUUCACAAGAAAAUGGAGAUAUAUAGACCCCACAAAGCAUAUCCAACAGAGCUUGCGCAGUUCCAUUCUGCUGAUUAUGUGGAAUUCUUGCACCGAAUAACUCCUGAUACCCAGCACUUGUAUGCAAGUGAAUUAACUAGAUACAACCUUGGAGAGGACUGCCCAGUCUUUGAUGAUUUGUUUGAGUUCUGCCAAAUCUAUGCUGGAGGAACUCUAGAUGCGGCUCGAAGACUAAAUCAUAAAACAUGUGAUAUUGCUAUUAAUUGGGCUGGUGGGCUGCAUCAUGCAAAGAAGUGUGAGGCGUCAGGCUUCUGCUACAUUAAUGACCUAGUUUUGGGAAUUCUCGAGCUUCUCAAGUAUCAUGCUAGGGUUCUCUAUAUUGACAUUGAUGUCCAUCAUGGAGAUGGAGUUGAAGAAGCCUUCUAUUUCACUGACAGGGUAAUGACUGUAAGUUUCCACAAGUAUGGUGACAUGUUCUUUCCUGGCACAGGUGAUAUUAAGGAUAUAGGAGACAGGGAAGGAAAAUAUUAUGCCAUCAACAUCCCACUUAAAGAUGGCAUAGACGACACCAGCUUUACUCGGCUUUUUAAAACGAUUAUUGCCAAAGUUGUUGAGACAUAUCUGCCAGGUGCUAUUGUUCUUCAAUGUGGGGCUGAUUCAUUGGCGCGAGACCGCCUAGGGUGUUUCAAUCUUUCAAUUGAAGGCCAUGCUGAAUGUGUAAAGUUUGUUAAGAAAUUUAAAAUUCCUCUGCUGGUGACAGGAGGUGGUGGGUACACCAAAGAGAAUGUAGCACGCUGCUGGGCUGUUGAAACUGGGGUUCUUCUAGACACAGAGCUCCCAAAUGAGAUCCCUGACAAUGAAUACAUUGAGUACUUCGGUCCAGAUUAUACAUUGAAAGUACCGAAUCUGAACAUGGACAACUUGAAUAGUAAGACGUAUCUCAGUUCAAUCAAAGUGCAAGUAAUGGAGAGUUUGCGGGCCAUACAACAUGCACCUGGCGUUCAGAUGCAAGAGGUUCCACCCGAUUUCUAUGUCCCGGAUUUUGAUGAAGACGAGCUGGAUCCUGAUGAACGUGUUGAUCAGCAUACCCAAGACAAGCAGGUUCAUCGUGACGACGAGUACUAUGAAGGCGACAACGACAAUGAUCACGAUGACGGCGGACAUUGA